GACGAACGCUGGCGGCGUGCUUAACACAUGCAAGUCGAACGGUAAGGCCCUUCGGGGUACACGAGUGGCGAACGGGUGAGUAACACGUGGGUGAUCUGCCCUGCACUUCGGGAUAAGCCUGGGAAACUGGGUCUAAUACCGGAUAGGACCAUGCGGUUCACGGUGUGAGGUGGAAAGCUUUUGCGGCUGUGGGAUGGGCCCGCGGCCUAACAGCUUGUUGGUGGGGUAAUGGCCUACCAAGGCGACGACGGAGAGCCGGCCUGAGAGGGUGACCGGCCACACUGGGACUGGGAUACGGCCCAGACUACUACGGGAGGAAGCAGUGGGGAAUAUUGCGCAAUGGCCGCAAGCCUGAUGCGGCGGCGCCGCGUGAGGGAUCACUGCCUUCGGGUUGUAAACCUCUUUCAGUAGGGAAGAAGCGCAGGUGACGGUACCUACAGAAGAAGGACCGGCCAACUACGUGCCAGCCGCCGCCGUAA
rnacentral:rRNA from 1 species